UUUACUUAUUUAUAUUUAUGCACUUACCUGAUUAAUUAAUAAUUGCCUAAUAUUUUCACUUUUAAAAACACUUUCUCACUCUGUUGCAGUCGAAUUCAAGUGCAAAGGGAAUGGGGAGAACGAAAAACGAAACCGAAAUUUCUGCCUGACGCGUACCAGGCCGCUGCUCGGAAUUACUUCGAAAUAAACAACAACAAAAAAGUUCGAACUUCGGCAGUGGCAGAAGUGCCGACAGAAUUUUGUCAGCCUGCUUUGUUUUGAACUGAUGAAGCCCAUGUGAUUUGUUUUUGUUUUUCGAACAUGCCGGCCAGGAAAGAGCAGGGAAGGGAAUUUAAGAACUACAGGAACACUACGUACCCGAUGUACUCGAAAGACGAAACACGACAAAGCAGUGCGCAACCGGCCAUUUCACAACACCAACACGACGGAGCAAGCAGAGCGCAACCGGCCAUUCGGCAGCAUCAAUACGACGGAUCAAGAAGUGCACAACCGACCAUCCCACAUCAUAAACACAACGUAGUAAGCAGUGCGAACUUGGCCACCCCGCAGCGCCAACGCAACAUGUCAAACAGUGCGCAACCGGCCAUUCCGCAGCGCCGGCGUAACGAAGCAAGCAGAACACAACUCGAUCCUUUCGCAACGCCGACGCAACGAAGCAAGCAGUUAAACAACUCUACGCGAUAAGCAGUAUGAGGCACCCAACCAUCGAAAUUACCGAUUGUAUUUAGU